CUGUAUGUAUUUUAUAACUAUUAAGCGUCACCUACAUAGACAGGAAAUGUAGAGACAUUAGAAAUCUGAGAGGAUGAAGAGAUGGAGUAGAGGAUUUGACUGUUCUGGAUGGUGUUACACUCCCCCUGAAGGACUGUGUCCACAGCUUGGAAGUGCUCCUGGAUCUGUCUCUCCAAAUGUCAUCCCAGGUCCAGGUUAUCUACAGGACCGCCUUCUCCCAUACAAUCCACUCCAAACAUUGAGGUCCUCUGGGAGGGCAAUUGAUGCAGUCUGCAAGAACCCAACUGGUGGCCGUUACCCAGAGGACCUUCUCAUCAGCUGCCCCAUGACUGUGGAAUGACCAGCUGGAAGAGAACCGACAGCUAAACCAGCUGUCUGAAUAUAAGUCACGUUUGAAGACCCAUCUCUUCCAGCAGGCCUAUCCAGGAUGGUCAAAUGCCUAAGGCAUUGUGACUUUCAUUGUCAGUGUCUGAAAUGUGAUCCCUUCUACCGAGAGUGGCUGUUUAUACACUACUGGAAGAGGAUGAUGUGAAGUUACAUACAAUGUUCACAUACUAACAAACAUAUUGAUGCCUCUUAUGAUUCACAGCAGAAGUACUGUCUGCCCAGCUGGACAACUGACCUCUGACUAAUGUCAGGAAUCUGUGCACAUAUUAGGAAUAAAGGGGUAUUCAUGAUCAUUUUAUUUUUGUUGUUUGUUGUUACAUGUACCUUCACAUUGACGUCAACUCAUGUGGGGAUCCUACCCCAGGGUUUUAUCAAUAAGAUGUAUUCAGAGGAAGUUUGCAGUUGGAUUCCUCUGUGGUGGAAAAGGUACAACUUGUCCAAAAUUAUCCAGUGGUUUUCAUGACUGAGCAGGGAUCUGAACCCUGGUCUCCCAAGCCCAGGAGGUCCUGCUAUGGCCAUUAAAUGGACAAGGAGGGAGAAGUGACCAAGCAGCAGAGAGUGCUUCUCAUCUCUUCUUCAGUUCUCUACACAGAAGGGACAGAAAUGGGGUAGUUGUUCUUUUCUCUCUGUCUAGAGAAUUGCAGUGACAGGAGGCAGUCCUCACUGCUUUGUCACCUCCUUUUCCUCCCCGCUCCCAUUCUCCUGGCUGUUUAAUGCCUUGAAAUGCCUCCUGGGACUUGGGAAUUGAAGGGGAAGGGGUGGAAGAGAUGCAAACUGUACACAGAGAAUGUUAUUCUCUGUGCAUUUAAUACAGGAUUGUUAUUACUCCCUGUUCUCUCUUGGUCAGCAGCAUAGAGGCGGUGGGAAAAGAUCUAAAGAGAAGCAGCAAUUCUGCACUUUUUCAUCCUGUACCUAGCAUGUCCAGUUAUGCAUCACCAAAAAAAAAAAAAUUGUCUGCAUUACACACACACACACACAGCAGGUAGAUGCAUUCAUGGAAGGUUUUAAAUUACAGAAUUACUUGAUGACCCUUAAGAUCUCUUCCAGUUCCUCUGUUAUAAUUAAAAAGCACUUGCUAUAAUUUCAGUAGAAAAAAUCCAUCUCUGUAAUAGUGGUAAACAGUAGGUGGCCUGUGUUUCUGCUCAGUCAAUUGUUCAGGUGCUAAGCAUUGUUGGGUAUCUUCAAGAACACUAUCAUCCCUCCUUAGGAUUCUUUUCUUUUCAACCAGAUGUAAACUGGGUAAUGCUUCACAGAGAGGACUACCUCUGUAAAAUAGUUUGCUCUUCCUUGCCCUGGGACAGGAGUAAGGAGCAGAUUCAGUUGCCACAGAAUCACUUAUCCAUUCUUGGUUGGUUCAGAGCAUUGAAAGAGUUGGCUGCACACUGAGGAAGUGAUUAAUAUUUUAAGGAAAUCCAUGAAUGACUUAGGGCUAGGAUUUUUCAAAGAUGUUGAGGUAAUACUACAGGAAGAGGAAACUUUGGCAGCAGCCUGCAUCUAUAUUGCAGAAAUAAUGUACUUUGAUGCAUUAUUUAACUCCAUGGCUCAGUGCCAUGCAAUUCUGAGAUUUGUAGUUUUGUGAGAUUUUUAGCCUUCUCUGUUAGAUAGCCCUGGUGCCGCAACAAACUACAAAUUCCAGGAUUGCAUAGAAUGGAGACAUGACAGUUAAAGCAGUGUCAAACUGCAUUAAUUCUGCAGUGUAGCAGCAGCCCUGGUGAGUUCUGAUGAAGGGAGGGGACAUGCACUAGGGAUCUGGAUAAUCUGACCCUCUGGAUGAUGUUGACUUUAACAUGCCCAGUGAUCAGGGAUGAUGGGAAUUGUGCUCUGACAACACCAAGAAGACCACCAAUUGCUUAUAUCUGGUAGAUUCCCUGGAGGAAGGGAGAAGGAGGAGAUGAUCUUGAGCACUCUCUAAUAGGACUGAGGAAACACUGACUUUACAUCUCUAGUGUAAAAGGGAGAUGAGUUCUGGCUCACAGACAGAAAAUAACAGAAAUGUACGUCAAGUGGCUGAUGACACUGCUGUUCAAACUUUGACUUUGUGUGAUAUUUGAAAAGGCUGCUAUGGUCAGAGGGGAAGGCAGCUGACCAUGAGAGCUGAUAAGCAGUGCAAAUAAAACCCUUUUGCCUUGGGAACAUCACACACCACAUGUGAUAUUAGCAGUUUUUAGAUUUGCAACAAUGAUUGGGAGAAGUCUUGGGGAUUGGUUUCUUACCAGUAAAAUAUUCAGAGCAGCAAAUGAACGAACCACAGAUUCUGAACUGAUUGGUUUGGGUUUGCCCUUACUGUAUGUCAGGAUUUGGGAAAGUUUUUUUAAAAACUACAACACUUGGGGUCCUCAGACAGUAUAGGAACUGAGGGUUCUGGAAGCUGUGAUGCAAACUUUUUUUUCUAGUUUAACUUCUGAUGUUACCACCUCUGUGUGUGUGGGAAAAAGGUGUGCUGAAGCAGGGGCCCUAAAAGCUCUGCAAAUGUUGAUAUUUCAUUUCAUUUUAAAACUUAACCUUCACCCACAUGGAUUUUUUUUAAAAAUAUACUGAAUGAUUUCUGGGGUAUUUUCUGGCCCCAUGGUAAUUACAGUAUUUCAAAAAAACAAAAAUGCCUUAAGUUUAUGAGUGUAAUGGAGGAUAUUCCACAGAAGUCAGAUCCCCAGAGCCAGAAAACACAUGUUCAUAUGAAGCAAAACAUUCAUUCUAAAUAGCUGGCAGACUGCCCUUUAUGUGAAAAACAAUGUAACCAGUAUAAUAUUGAUGUCCUAAAAUAUUUUUUUCAUUGUUGUCCUAAAAUGUGUUUUUCAUUGUGUGCCUUCAAGUCAUUUUUGAGUUAUGGUGACCCUAAGGCGACCUUG